GAUGAACGCUGGCGGCGUGCCUAAUACAUGCAAGUCGAGCGAACAGACGAGGAGCUUGCUCCUCUGACGUUAGCGGCGGACGGGUGAGUAACACGUGGAUAACCUACCUAUCAGACUGGGAUAACUUCGGGAAACCGGAGCUAAUACCGGAUAAUAUAUUGAACCGCAUGGUUCAAUGGUGAAAGACGGUUUUGCUGGCACUUAUAGAUGGAUCCGCGCCGCAUUAUAUAGUUGGUAAGGUAACGGCUUACCAAGGCAACGAUGCGUAGCCGACCUGAGAGGGGGAUAGGCGACACUGGAGCUGAGACACGGUCCAGACUCCUACGGGAGGCAGCAGUAGGGAAUCUUCCGCAAUGGGCGAAAGCCUGACGGAGCAACGCCGCGUGAGUGAUGAAGGUCUUCGGUUCGUAAAACUCUGUUAUUAGGGAAGAACAAAUGUGUACGUAACUAUGCACGUCUUGACGGUACCUAAUCAGAAAGCAACGGCUAACUACGUG
rnacentral:rRNA from 1 species